rnacentral:rRNA from 1 species
AUUGAACGCUAGCGGGAUGCCUUACACAUGCAAGUCGAACGGAUUGGCGAACGGGUGCGUAAUGUAUCGGAACGUGCCCAUUAGCGGGGGAUAACUACGCGAACGCGUAGCUAUUACCGCAUCCUAUUGGACCCGCCGAUACGGGAUUAGCCAGUUGGUGUGGUAACGGCCCACCAAGGCGACGAUCCGUAGCUGGUCUGAGAGGACGACCAGCCCCACUGGGACUGAGACACGGCCCAGACUCCUACGGGAGGCAGCAGUGGGGAAUUUUGUACAAUGGGGGAAACCCUGAGCCAGCCAUCCCGCGUGUGCGAUGAAGGCCUUCGGGUUGUAAAGCACUUUUGGCAUGAAAGCGGUACCUGCAGAAUAAGCACCGGCUAACUACGUGCCAGCAGCCGCGGUAAUAC